GGAUAUUUACUGCUAUUUAUACAAUGAAACUAACAGAUAGCAUUCAUUGUUAUUCCAGCUAGUAGCUUGUUUUCUUUUUUGGCAAUCCACUAGGCAAGCGCCUAGGGUUAGAAUUUUAUUAUUAAAGUAACAGAAUACAGAAAUAAUUAUAAGGUCCAAAAUACAUGCGAAAGAGAAAAUAGAAUUUGACAUCUGCUUUUACGGACUAGCACUAUUAAGAGCUAUGCUUAAUGUUUGAAUCAAUAAAAGCAAACUAUGAUUGAAAGCUGAGAUGGAAAUCCACUUAAAUGGCAUUAUGUCCAUAAGAUGUCAAUAAAAGCAAACUAUGAUUGAAAACUGAGAUGACAAUCCAUUUAAAUGGAAUUAGGUCCAUAAGAUGCCGUCCUUCCCCUGCAAUGUCACCUUUCCUUCCUCAAGGGGAUGAGCACAAG
rnacentral:lncRNA from 1 species